CCUCAAUGUUCUGAAUUGGUUCAAAACGUUUCUCUUUCCAAUCAUUUCGGGAAAAGUCGGAAGUCACAGAUGCCAGACCCAGUGGGUUAGGUGGACGAGGACAUACCAUGUUCUUAUGAGCUUGCCUUUCUGUUGGGUGGCACUCAGCAGCAGUAUUUCCUGCACGUUUGAUCAUGCCUCCUAAAGACACUCAGAAGCUGCUUCAGAAAGGGCAAGAAUGAUGCAGACCCAAGACCCUUCAAUGGGCAAGGAACAGAGGUCAAGAAAUUAUGCUGGAACAACUCAUUGUUCACAUGGAAAAGAAUGGAUGUGGACCCUACCUCACUCUAAUACAAAAUGCAUCAACAUUCUAAAUAUAAAGUAAUAAUCUAAAUCUAAGAAGAAAACAUAGGAAUAAAUUUUCGUGUCUUCA